rnacentral:rRNA from 1 species
AUUGAACGCUGGCGGCAGGCCUAACACAUGCAAGUCGAACGGUAACAGGAAGAAGCUUGCUUCUUUGCUGACGAGUGGCGGACGGGUGAGUAAUGUCUGGGAAACUGCCUGAUGGAGGGGGAUAACUACUGGAAACGGUAGCUAAUACCGCAUAACGUCGCAAGACCAAAAAGGGGGACCUUCGGGCCUCUUGCCAUCGGAUGUGCCCAGAUGGGAUUAGCUAGUAUGUGGGGGAACGGCUCACCUAGGAGACGAUCCCUAGCUGGUCUGAGAGGAUGACCACCCACACUGUAACUGAGACACAUUCCACACUCCUACGGUAGGCAGCAGUCCGGAAUAUUGCACAAUGGGCGCAAGCCUGAUGCAGCCAUGCCGCGUGUAUCAAGAAGCCCUUCUGGUUCUUAAGUACUUUCAGCCGUAAGGAUGUAAGUAACUUUAAUCCCUUUUCUCAUUGACGUUACCCGCAGAAGAAGCACCGGCUAACUCCGUG